AUUGAACGCUGGCGGCAUGCUUUACACAUGCAAGUCGAACGGUAACAGGCCUUCGGGUGCUGCCGAGUGGCGAACGGGUGAGUAAUGCAUCGGAACGUGCCCAGAGGUGGGGGAUAACGCAGCGAAAGCUGUGCUAAUACCGCAUGUGAUCUGAGGAUGAAAGCGGGGGACCAGGCAGCAAUGUUUGGCCUCGCGCCUUUGGAGCGGCCGAUGUCAGAUUAGGUAGUUGGUGGGGUAAAGGCCUACCAAGCCGACGAUCUGUAGCUGGUCUGAGAGGACGACCAGCCACACUGGGACUGAGACACGGCCCAGACUCCUACGGGAGGCAGCAGUGGGGAAUUUUGGACAAAGGGCGCAAGCCUGAUCCAGCAAUGCCGCGUGCGGGAAGAAGGCCUUCGGGUUGUAAACCGCUUUUGUACGGAACGAAAAGGCUCUGGCUAAUACCUGGGGCUGAUGACGGUACCGUAAGAAUAAGCACCGGCUAACUACGUG
rnacentral:rRNA from 1 species